rnacentral:lncRNA from 1 species
AUGAAGAGAGAAGUCAGGAGGCUGGAUCAGCUGGCCUGUGAUCUCCUGCGCGAGCCAAGCUGUCUGAUUGGCUGGAGGGCUGCAGGGCCAUCUUGCCUCCCUGGCAGGCAAGUGGCUCCAACAGUUUGGUUGAGGAGGAACCACAAGAUGUUUAAAGGCUGUAGCAUCAGGGCUUCAAGCUGCGUGGAUCCACUCACCGAAGCAGCACCUGUUCACCGGUCGCUCCCUUCAGUCCUUUCCUCCUUUGGUGCCCAGACCAACACUGAUGCUUUUCUCUCGAGGUUUGAAAGUUUAGACACCAACUUGUUUACAUUUAAUAAACGUGGAGAAGCAAAGUUCAUACUGCGCCCUGAACCUAAACGUUGCCUUUUUUCGAAAUGUUAGUUUAGUUUAGUCUUGCACGCGUUUACACACAGAAGCCCAACAGCACUUCAACAUGAUGGAGAUGCAUGAACAAAUAUGCAUAUUUAAUAUGUAAGUGUUAUUAAUUAUUCAUGUGACUGGCACUUCGCAAAUUAAUUAAAUUAAUUAUGUUGAAAGAAUCCAAGUGGAUUUGGAGGCUAAUAUAAUAAUGUUUGUAUUGUAUUUACUGUAAUGGAUUCAUCUCCGAUUAACUGGAUUGAUGACAGUUCAAAGCCGCUUUGUGCAUCAUGGAGACUUUAUAUUAGUUAAGUGUGUGUGACUUUUAGAAGAGGAGCUACUGGAUGGAGGAUUGUUUAAUCAGAGGCACAGAAGCAAAUCUUGAACUAACACAUUAUUAUUCUGCACGGAACACCUGUAAUAACUCCCAUCUGCACAGACACCAAAUGAAAAUGAAGGAGGUGCAGGUAAACCGUUGAGUUGAAACCUGUCUUUCAGCUCCUGCUUUACACUGAAUUGUGGUAAAUGUGUGCAGAUGACCAGGUAGAGGCUCAGCAGGCGAUGCCACAGUGAAGCUGAGCAGCGUUAGUGGGAUGUGGGAGCUGAGAGCUGGGAGGAGGCGGAGGAGGCCGCCACAUUAAUGAAUCAAUUAGAGACUCCUGUUAAAUGAGUCUGAUGUCUGACUUUGGGGUCAACAGCUGUCCUCACCUCCUGUCAAGGUCACUGGUAGUUGACCUUUGACCUCCGCCAACUGCUAUGACAAGAGGAAAGUGAGCCACUCUUCCUACUGUAGGAGCAGAGCUAAUGCUGCAUCUGUUCAUUAUUUAGAAGAUACCUAUUAUUUGAUUCACAACUUUAAUCGUCUGGGUUUGAACCCGACCAGCGCUGAGUGGCUCCAGCAGCUCCAGUCCAACGACCAGCACCUAAAAAGCGUCAUCCGUCAAACUCUAGUUUCAAAUGGUCCGUCCCCGCUCGCAGCCUGUGCCAACACACUUCCUCGCCUUUAAAAUCAUAUUACAUUUGC